GCCUUAGUAGCUCAGUGGUAGAGCGUGUCACUCGUACCUUUCUCAUGCGGAAUGACAAGGUCCACGGUUCAAUCCCGUGCUGAGGCA